UACGAAGGAUCCAAGCGUUAUCCGGAUUCAUUGGGUUUAAAGGGAGCGUAGGCGGUUUAAUAAGUCAGUGGUGAAAUCCCUCAGCUCAACUGAGGACCUGCCAUUGAUACUGUCGAACUAGAGUACAGAUGACGUUGGCGGAAUGUGUCAUGUAGCGGUGAAAUGCAUAGAUAUGACACAGAACACCGAUUGCGAAGGCAGCUGACGAAACUGAAACUGACGCUGAGGCUCGAAAGUGCGGGGAUCAAACAGG
rnacentral:rRNA from 1 species